rnacentral:piRNA from 1 species
UGUUUGUGGUUUUGGCAUUUCACAAUGUGU